CAUGGCUCUGCAGCCAGAGGGACCUGCGUUCAAAUCCCAGCCCUGCCACUUAUCAGCAAGUGACUCAUCCUAAAGCUUCAGUUUCCGCAGCUGGAAAGUGCAGGUGCCCCAAGGGAGUGGAGAGGAGUGGGCCCUUCCCUAGGUUCCUAGCUCACAGAGGGAAGCAUUCCGGACACAGCCCUGCUCUGGACUCAGCCCUGGGAUUGCCCACCCAACACCAAUCCUAUCAAUAAUCUCAACAGCCCCCAUCUUAGCAGCUACUCAUCCCUUAGAGACAUUGACCUUGCCCUGUCUGAGAGGUAAAUAAGUCCCGAGGAAUCUAAACCGACCUGGGUAAUCACUGGGGCCUCAUGGUUUCGGGUGGCCGGCCCUGAGUGGGAGGGCUGCUGGGUGGUGGUGAUAGGGCUAAUUAAAAAGAGACACACAGAAGAGGCAGCAUUUUCUCUGCUGGUUGUUGACAUGUCCUGGCUCGAGGUCUGGAUCACAGCUGCCGCCUGGGAGCCAGGAGGAGCCACCUGGAAGACCAACCCAACCAACACAGAGAGGGUGGCCGGCCGGGAGCGGGAGAGAAACCAGGUGCUGAUGACGCUAUCAAGCCAGUAAAGAGCCACCUUCCCCCUGGACUGAUUGUCUUGUGAGCUCAUAAAUGUCCUCAUUGUUGAA